AGGAUUAUAAUUUAAUAAAAAUAUUUGAAUUGCAAUCAAAAAUUACUUCUAAAAAGUUAAUCUUU
rnacentral:tRNA from 1 species